UGAGGGUGGCAGCUGCUGCAAAAGCCCCAUAACAGCUGACAUGCCCACAACUAUCUAUUAUUUUGCUUCAUGAAGAAUGGGGAAAUAUGAGAAAAAAUGAGGUUGUGCAGAGGGGACAGAGCCAGUAAACCCGGACAGAGGGAAAGGCAGAGGGCUGCGUGCAGUAGGGCUGGCGGAUGAUGCCUGCCCCUCCUGAAGACACAGAACACACGCAGGAGCUCCGUGGUGUUGACUGAAAUCCCUGUCAGCUGCAGUGCUCGACUUCCCCGAGAUGGUGACCUGUGCUAUUCUGACUGUGUCUUCUGCGUCCAUGGAUGAUGAAGAGAGACAGAGCACACAGUGCUCGGAGGGGCUACAUCCGCAGAGGGGAAGGUACAUGCCGGAGUGUAAUGAGGCAUUGGCCUCCAGUGAACUUUUCCAUCACAGGAGAAUAUUUCAAUGUUAAAGAUGAUUUGCUACAAACAAGAAGGAGAGGAGAUGCAGCCGUAACAUAAAAUGCCAUAUCUAAGAGACUGUGCAAUCUCUUUGCACUGCUAAAAUGAGAGAAGUGAAGUAGAGGUCCUGCUGACAUCACUGCUCAAAUUCUCCAUUUGUCCAAGAUUACAUGGGGGAACUUCCACUGAAACAAAAAGCCCAUAUAUAUAUAUAUAUGUAUGUAUAUCUAUCUGUAUAUAUGUUUGUGAAACAAUUUCUACUACUUAAAUAUCUCUGAUAAAUUAACAGAGC
rnacentral:lncRNA from 1 species